rnacentral:lncRNA from 1 species
AGGGAAGCCUAAAAGUACGAGAAGAGGUGAUUAGGCAGGACAUGACGCUAAUUCAGCUUACCGAGUACAUGACCCUCGUUAGUAAGGUGGGAGGCCUGCUUCCUAGAUAUCUUAGGGAUACCAUGUAUAUGAACAUUUCUAUAUUAGUAAACGCAUAAAUAACUCCAGCAAACUAUUGAUAUAACAUUUGAAAAAUAACAAAACACUAUCGGAAUGAUCUCUAAACACCCGUUCGGACAGCCAAAUAUGAAUAUAAAUCCCACACAUUAUUACAGAGCACAAAAAAAAAUCACCACAAUUCUUGCUAAAUUUGACUAUAAAAUCCCACAAAUUAUUACAACAGGACAUUGAAAAUUUGAUCUCUGGGAAAUUUUGAGCAAAAAAUCACCACAUGUCUUGGUAGAGAACUGACAUGAAAAACCAAUAAGAGAACACAAGCAUAUAGCAGGCAUAAAUACAUCUUCCUCUAUAUCUUCAUCUGUGCAUGUUUCUUGAAUCUUUCUCCUCUUCUUACAAGGCCGUGCUUUCUGAAGCUACUCUGCUAAAGAAAAAUCUUCAAGAUGACUCGAGAGUAAAUGUAAAGUGAAAACAGCGAGAAAUUAAAUUUAUAUAUAUGUGUGGCUCUUUCUUCCAUUAUAUUGUAGAACUGAAAAGUACACAAUGCACAUCAAAACAUUCGGUCU